AUAUCAACAAAAUAUGCUGCAAUUUCAGCAAUCUCUCUAACAAGCAUAAACUACUCAGAAUUAUACAGACCAUUAAAUAACUCAGUAUGGUGAAAUUUAAGAUACCUCUUUUGUUUUAUCUCCAGACACAACAGCACCCUUGGAAUCAUAGCCUUCAAAUUUCCAAAAGUGAAAAAGAUAACAAAAAAAAAUCAUCAAAACUAAACUACAAAACAUUAUAAAUAUCACACAAAGAAGGGCUGAACCUUCUAGGGAGAGAGAGAGAUUAAAAUGAUGCCCAGCAAUAAAAUCAAAGGUGAAGAGAUAGAAAAUCUAAAAUGUCAUGACCCAUGAACCAGGACAGGGGAAGGCUAAAUAAAAAAUAAUUCAACUAUUGUUAGAAGGGGAUCAUUUACCUAUACAAAGAUCAUGAGCUUAUAAAAUAAAAUCCAUGCUGCCCAAUACAUUAUAUGGCUCAGUGGCAGAUAUUUUAGCAUAGACUAUGGAGACUAUAAUGCUCUGAACUGAAACCAAGUUAUCAAAAAAAGCAAAAGGAAAGAACA
rnacentral:lncRNA from 1 species